rnacentral:rRNA from 1 species
CCUGACUGCUAUCGGAUUGAUACUAAGCCAUGCGAGUCUUUGUAGUAAUACAAGGCAGACGGCUCAGUAACACGUAGUCAACCUACCCUAUGGACAAGAAUAAUCUCGGGAAACUGGGCAUAAUUCUUGAUAGAUCAUAAUGCCUGGAAUGGUUUAUGGUUAAAAUGAUUCGUCGCCAUAGGAUGGGACUGCGGCCUAUCAGCUUGUUGGUGAGGUAAUGGCCCACCAAGGCGAUUACAGGUACGGGCUCUGAGAGGAGAAGCCCGGAGAUGGGUACUGAGACACGGACCCAGGCCCUAUGGGGCGCAGCAGGCGAGAAAACUUUGCAAUGUGCGAAAGCACGACAAGGUUAAUCCGAGUGAUUUCUGCUAAAGAAAUCUUUUGCCAGUCAUAAAACCACUGGUGAAUAAGGGGUGGGCAAGUUCUGGUGUCAGCCGCCGCGGUAAAACCAGCACCUCAAGUGGUCAGGAUGAUUAUUGGGCCUAAAGCAUCCGUAGCCGGCUUUGUAAGUUUUCGGUUAAAUCCAUGUGCUCAACGCAUGGGCUGCCGAAAAUACUGCAUGGCUAGGGAGUGGGAGAGGUAGACGGUACUCAGUAGGAAGGGGUAAAAUCCUUUGAUCUAUUGACGACCACCUGUGGCGAAGGCGGUCUACCAGAACACGUUCGACGGUGAGGGAUGAAAGCUGGGGGAGCAAACCGGAUUAGAUACCCGGGUAGUCCCAGCUGUAAACGAUGCAGACUCGAUGAUGCAUUGGCAUAAUAGCCAGUGCAGUGUCGCAGGGAAGCCGUUAAGCCUGCCGCCUGGGAAGUACGUACGCAAGUAUGAAACUUAAAGGAAUUGGCGGGGGAGCACCACCAAGGGGUGAAGCCUGCGGUUC